ACGGACACCGAACACGACACGGAC
rnacentral:miRNA from 1 species